AUGCUCGAUUCGGCAGCACAUAUGCUAAAAUUGGAAUGAUACAGAGAAGAUGAGCAUGACCCCUGCAUAAGGAUGACACACAAAUUCAUGAAACAUUUCAUAUUUUU